rnacentral:tRNA from 1 species
GGGGCUGUAGCUCAGUCGGUUAGAGCAUCGGACUCAUAAUCCGCCGGUCCUCGGUUCAAGCCCGAGCGGCCCCA